rnacentral:rRNA from 1 species
AGUGAACGCUGGCGGCAGGCCUAACACAUGCAAGUCGAACGGCAGCACAGGAGAGCUUGCUCUCUGGGUGGCGAGUGGCGGACGGGUGAGGAAUAUAUCGGAAUCUACCCUUUCGUGGGGGAUAACGUAGGGAAACUUACGCUAAUACCGCAUACGCACUGAGGUUGAAAGCGGCGGACCGCAAGGCGUCGCGCGGAUGGAUGAGCCGAUAUCAGAUUAGCUAGUUGGCGGGGUAAAGGCCCACCAAGGGGACGAUCGGUAGCGGGUCUGAGAGGAUGAUCAGCCACACUGGAACUGAGACAAGGGCCAGAAUCAUACGGGAGGCAGCAGUGGGGAAUAUUGGACAAUGGGCGCAAGCCUGAUCCAGCCAUGCCGCGUGUGUGAAGAAGGCCUUCGGGUUGUAAAGCACUUUUGUGGGGAAAGAAAAGCGGUCGGUUAAUACCCGGUCGUUCUGACGGUACCAAAAGAAUAAGCACCGGCUAACUUCGUGCCAGCAGCCGCCGUAA